UAAUCCUUCUGCAGGGGUUCCAGGCAUCCUUCUGCAGGGUUCCAGGCAUUCUUCUGCAGGGGUUCCAGGCAUCCUUCUGCAGGGUUCCAGGGUUCCAGGCAUCCUUCUGCAGGGUUCCAGGCAUCCUUCUGCCGGGUUCCAGGCAUCCUUCUGCAGGGUUCCAGGCAUCCUUCUGCAGGGUUCCAGGCAUCCUUCUGCCGGGGUUCCAGGCAUCCUUCUGCAGAGGGCCCAGGCAUCCUUCUGCCGGGUUCCAGGCAUCCUUCUGCAGGGUUCCAGGCAUCCUUCUGCAGGGUUCCAAGGCAUCCUUCUGCAGGGGUUCCAGG